rnacentral:lncRNA from 1 species
CACAAGAAAAAAAUAAACAACCAUGGACAGAUUAAUUAAACUUUUCUAAAUUUCAUCAUAUUCAUGUCUUUAACAGAGAAAGUCCAUGAAUUCAUCACUGAUACAGGAUGUACAGACUUAAGCUUUUAUUUUGAAGUCUAUAACUUUCCUACUGAGUAACGUCAGCUGUCUGUCAGUCUGCAGACAACACCACGGGCAUUGAUGUGUCUCAGAAGCAGCUCCAUCUCCUCCCAGCCACAACCAAGUGUGGUGGUGCUGCUCCUCCCUCCUGCUCCUGAGAAAACUUCCCUUCUUAUUAGUCAAGCUUGAGGAAACAUGAAAAAAUGCACCAUUUUACAAUUAAAUUCUACCUGCUGCAAAUAGGACAUCAGGAUUCCUUUUAAAGGCCAUCCAUCUGCAUUUGGGAUGCUCCCAUCUGUCUCUGGGAGCAGUAUUAUUGUUGCAAUAAGUAAAAGUACCACAACAUAAAUAACACGCUUGUAAAUCCUAC